rnacentral:tRNA from 1 species
GAUGGUAGCUCAGCAGGUUAGAGCAUGGUGCUGAUAAAGCCAAGGUUGCAGGUUCGAUUCCCCGUAUGGGGCAGCU